UACGUAGGCGGAAAAUUAAGUCAGUGGUGAAAUCCUGCAGCUUAACUGUAGAACUGUCAUUGAUACUGGUUUUCUUGAAUAUAGUUGAGGUAGGCGGAAUGUGUAAUGUAGCGGUGAAAUGCUUAGAUAUUACACAGAACACCGAUUGCGAAGGCAGCUUACUAAACUAUUAUUGACGCUGAGGUACGAAAGCGUGGGGAGCGAACAGGAUUAGAUACCCUGGUAGUCC
rnacentral:rRNA from 1 species